AUUCUCUCUGAAUAUUGAUCCGUGAUAGACGAUUAUUUCCGGGUAUUUAGUACAUACUGUUUGAAGCAUCGAUACUUUGACAUGGUAGAUAUCCAGUCAAAACAAGCACGACCAAGCGGAAUAAUCUCAGAACAUAUCGUGAUUCAAUUACAGGGAAUUCUAGACACGUAAAAAUCGAUGCAGAAAUACUCCUGUAGUAAAUUUUUAUGAGCUCAGCGUAAAACCGGAAUAUGACCAGUUCAUAAAGAGCUGUUGUGUAGAGAAGGUAUAUCUUAAAAGUUAAGCUGUUUUUAUCAGUAUCUUGGAUAUUGGUAGACACGAAUAUAAAGACUUGUGUUCUAACAUGGGUACUCCUUGCGAUAUAUCUUUAGAUCAAGCUGUAAAGGCUUUAGACAAAAUAAAGAAAGAUUAUGAGAUGGAUAAUGGACGCCUUGCAAUUAUAACAAGCGAUCGCUAUGAAGAAACUUUUGAAAUCAUGGCAAAUCAGUUCACUCCUGACGAACCUUUAUGCCGGUCAUUUGGAGUCAAAUGGAAUGACGACUUUAGGAAAACUACAUACGAAAAUCUCAUUCAAAACGUUUCAAUAUGCAUGAUCGCUAAAGACACAAACGAGUUAAUGGGAAUAAGAAUAAUUGGUAUCAUGAGAAAAAUCGGAUCC